AUUCAAAGUAACACAGGAAACCCACAACCAAGAGAUUUUCCAGGAAUUCCAAAAAGGAAAUUAUUUUCAGGCAGCACAGGAAGCCCAUAACUCAAAAUUUUUUCAGGAAGGAAGAAAGGAAGCUUCUUUAGUUUGCCACGGUAAAAACAUCAGUCGAUUGCCUAAAAAUAUUUAAAAGUAAAGAUUUACGAUUAAAAAGCUAGUUACUGUUUUA